GAAAAAAAUAAAUAGAAAAAAAAAGAAAGAAGUUAGAAAAGUCAAAGGUGAUGUCAUAAAAGAAUUAAUUAAAUAUUUAUUAAAUUAGAUUUUUUAUGGUCUUCCAUAGCAAAGUAAAUAAAAGAAAACAAAAGAAAAAAAAAAUUAGAAAAAGUCUUCUUCCCUUGGUUUGCCGCCCCACUUCCUCUCAAGUCCUCCAUGAAAUUUUCUUCCACUAAGCUUACACUUAAGCUUAAUCUUCAUAAAUCCCCUAAAAACCUUGUUAGAACUUGCAAUCUCAACUUAAGCACAAGGAUUACAAGAAGAAAGGAGGAGAGGAAUUAAAGGCUUGGCAUUUAAAUUGAGGUUAGUAUGCUAAACUCUUCAUUUAUCCAUUCAAAUGCAUAUGUGAUGGUUGAAAGUGAGCUUAGAACUUGAUUAAAUGAAACAAACAUGUGAGAAUGACCAUUGCUGAAAUUUGGCCUGGUUGAAGGGAGUAUGAAUUGCAUGAAUUUAAAGGGUUUGAAUGAGUAUAAAAACCUUAAUUAGUUGAAUGAUGAUAGUUUAGAACUUUGAAAUUGUUAAUGGCAAUAAAGUUGUGAGUUUAGGGUUUGAAUGUUAGGGUUUGUGAACUAAAUUUUGGAGAAAUGCUUAAAUGAUGACUUUGGUCUAUUGUGAGAUGAAAAAUGGUCAAUAAUGACCAAAAGAGAUGUGUGGAAAUUGUGAGAAUGAAAGUUAAAUUUGACCAAGCUAACUUUGAAGGACCAAAAUGAAAAUUUUACAAGUCCAAUUGAU
rnacentral:misc_RNA from 1 species